rnacentral:rRNA from 1 species
ACGCUAGCUACAGGCUUAACACAUGCAAGUCGAGGGGAAACGGCAUUUAGUGCUUGCACCGAAUGGACGUCGACCGGCGCACGGGUGAGUAACGCGUAUCCAACCUUCCCAUAACUAAGGGAUAACCUGCCGAAAGGCAGACUAAUACCUUAUGUAAUCCUUUGAUGGCAUCAGAUAAGGAUAAAAGAUUUAUCGGUUAUGGAUGGGGAUGCGUCUGAUUAGCUUGUUGGCGGGGUAACGGCCCACCAAGGCAACGAUCAGUAGGGGUUCUGAGAGGAAGGUCCCCCACAUUGGAACUGAGACACGGUCCAAACUCCUACGGGAGGCAGCAGUGAGGAAUAUUGGUCAAUGGACGGAAGUCUGAACCAGCCAAGUAGCGUGCAGGAUGACGGCCCUAUGGGUUGUAAACUGCUUUUGUAUGGGGAUAAAGUCAAUCACGUGUGAUUGUUUGCAGGUACCAUACGAAUAAGGACCGGCUAAUUCCGUGCCAGCAGCCGCGGUAAUACGGAAGGUUCGGGCGUUAUCCGGAUUUAUUGGGUUUAAAGGGAGCGUAGGCCGGAGAUUAAGUGUGUUGUGAAAUGUAGACGCUCAACGUCUGACUUGCAGCGCAUACUGGUUCCCUUAAGUACGCACAACGUUGGCGGAAUUCGUCGUGUAGCGGUGAAAUGCUUAGAUAUGACGAAGAACUCCGAUUGCGAAGGCAGCUGACGGGAGCGCAACUGACGCUGAAGCUCGAAGGUGCGGGUAUCGAACAGGAUUAGAUACCCUGGUAGUCCGCACAGUAAACGAUGGAUGCCCGCUGUUGGUACCUGGUAUCAGCGGCUAAGCGAAAGCAUUAAGCAUCCCACCUGGGGAGUACGCCGGCAACGGUGAAACUCAAAGGAAUUGACGGGGGCCCGCACAAGCGGA